UACGGAGGGGGCUAGCGUUGUUCGGAAUUACUGGGCGUAAAGCGCACGUAGGCGGCUUUGUAAGUUAGAGGUGAAAGCCCAGGGCUUAACCCUGGAAUUGCCUUUAAGACUGCAUCGCUAGAAUCGUGGAGAGGUGAGUGGAAUUCCGAGUGUAGAGGUGAAAUUCGUAGAUAUUCAGAAGAACACCAGUGGCGAAGGCGACUCACUGGACACGUAUUGACGCUGAGGUGCGAAAGCGUGGGGAGCAAACAGG
rnacentral:rRNA from 1 species